AAUACAAUAACAAGUAAUAGUAUCGUACAGUAAACACAUAUCAUCUAUGAAUAACCCUGCUACCCCACCCCCAACCCCGGGAGGAGCGGACGAGAAGCUCUAGGUGCCCCUAUUCUACAACCCUGAUACUAGACCUCCAGGCUUUCCUAUCAAGGGACAUGUCCUCUGAAACCUGCAUUCUAGCCAUAUCUUGCCUAAUCACCUCUCCCCAAUACUUCUUGGGCCUCCCUCUACCGCGCCGACCGCCAGCAAUCACCAGCCGUUCGCAGCUCCUCACCGGUGCAUCGGGACUCCUCCUCCGCACAUGCCCAAACCACCUCAGCCGCGCUUCACGCAUCUUCUCGUCCACCGGUGCCACCCCCACCUUCUCCCGAAUAAUUUCAUUCCUAAUUUUAUCUAGCCUGGUAUGCCCGCACAUCCAC
rnacentral:lncRNA from 1 species